rnacentral:rRNA from 1 species
GCUGAAGCCGGUCCCAAGGGUAUGGCUGUUCGCCAUUUAAAGUGGUACGCGAGCUGGGUUUAGAACGUCGUGAGACAGUUCGGUCCCUAUCUGCCGUGGACGUUUGAGAUUUGAGAGGGGCUGACCUUAGUACGAGAGGACCGGGUUGGACGAACCUCUGGUGUUCCGGUUGUGUCGCCAGACGCAUUGCCGGGUAGCUACGUUCGGAAAAGAUAACCGCUGAAAGCAUCUAAGCGGGAAACUUGCCUCAAGAUGAGAUCUCACCGGGAGCUUGACUCCCCUAAAGGGCCGUCGAAGACUACGACGUUGAUAGGUUGGGUGUGUAAGCGCUGUGAGGCGUUGAGCUAACCAAUACUAAUUGCCCGUGUGGCUUGACCAUAUAACACCCAAGCA